AUUACUCUGGUGUGCCUUAAAUGUGAUUUCCUAACUGAUUCUUCUGGUUUAGAUCUUAUGGCUAAACACUUAAUUCAACGUAAAACUCAUACUUGCCAAGUUAUAACAGAGAAUGUUCCUGGAAGUAUCUCAGCUUCUGGACCCACUUCUGCCCGCUUGUUGAAAUAGAUUCCUGCUCUAUGGAGCUCGUGCAACCUGGUGCAAGACAAGUUGGAAUUUCCUAAGUUCAAAGUUCUGAAGUGUUUUCUUACACAAAGGCAUUUUCCUAAGUUCAAAGUUCUGAAGUGUUUUCUCAUACGAAGGCGGUUUAACAGCCAAGUUCAUGACACUAGUUCUCAUUAUUCAGCUCUUUUCAGCUUUCAGAUGGCACUAGAGUCUUAUUCCACCUUAUCUUUGUGUCAGGUUAACAUAUCUUAACAUAUGCUUUUCUCUCCAGUUGGCUCUCUUCAAAAAUAACUUUUGUUGCUAUGGUCUUUUCUUGCUUUGCUUAAAAUAAUUUGUGUUUUUCUCUGCUGUACUUGCUUUCAGAAUAUUGCAUUCCAAAAGAUGUGACUGUUCAUCUUUUUUUGUCUGUUUUGUCUGGUUUCUUAGUUAAUUUCUUAUAAGUCUUACAAUUUUAGGUCAGAUAGCUGUCUUUUUCCUCAUUCCUUGUCUGUCAUUGUUCUAUUUUUCAUAUUUUUCAGAUGCAGAAGCAACACAGACAUUUCAAAAAAAGUCCAGGGUACUCCUGGUCAGUGUCCCCCUUCGAUGGACACAUCUGAUGCCUGUUCUCUCUUUCCAAGGAAUGUGAAUUGUUUGACUGUGAGACCUCCUCUAGGUUGUGGCCUUAAGAAAUCAGAUCUUAGGGAGAGUCCGUUUCUUCAUGACUGGCCUCCCAUAAGACUGAUGCUAAUGUGGCCAGAGAUGACCUCAAGGCCCACCAAAUUGAGCACAACUUCCCACUGGGGGCUUUGGUUCUUUUUUUUUUUUUUUUUUUUUUUUUUGGUGGUACGUGGGUCUCUCACCGCUGGGGCCUCUCCCACUGUGGAGCACAGGCUCCGGAUGCGCAGGCCCAGUGGCCAGAGGGCAGGCCCAAUGGCCCACAGGCCCAGCUGCUCCGCGGCAUGCGGGAUCCCCCCGGACCGGGGCACGAACCUGUGUCCCCUGCAUCAGCAGGCGGACUCUCAACCACCGUGCCACCAGGGAAGCUGGGGCUUUGGUUCUUGAUCUUAAGCCUAUGGGUUGAUUCUGACCAAGGAAAAAGCCCAUCAAAUCAGUGCUUCAACAUCCAAGUUGAAGUUUAAUCAUUUUGGCUGCUGCCCUUUAAUCUUUCUCUAGCAUGCAUGCAGUCCAAGGAAUAUAAAAACUGGUUAUGUAGGGAACCAAGGUUAUUUUCUUGUUCUUGGAAAACAAAUUUCUAAAAUUACAGUUCUAAAAUUAGUUAUUUUUUCUGUCAUUUAAAGUUUUAUGCAGUGUUAAGGAGUUUUCAGCAAUACUAAUAUUCAAUUUUUUUAAGUCUAAUUUAAUUUUGUUAUCUUGGUUUUUAUGUUGUCUUCACCAAAUUUAUUUACGUCCGUUUUGUUAUGUCCUCUCUUAUUUCUUUUCUUUAAAACUUGUUUUGUGUUUGUUUUGUUUCAUUAAUAACUCCCCCCAAAAUUCUUAACAUUCUCCACAGAUUUUAUGUAGCUACCUAUUGGUAGCUUCUUAAUUUGGUAAUUGUUUAGACCCUUAGACAUUAUUAUAUCCUCUGUCUAUCUUGGGACUAUCCUUAAAAUUAUCUUAGUGAUUGUGAGGUCAGAGACAUAAAGAAUUGGCAAAAAACACUUCCUACAGACCUUAAAACAAAUUUUAAAGUUACAUUUUCUGUACAUCUAACACAUAAUGUCUUCUUAGCCCUUAAUAUAACUCCUUUGGAUAAAGAUAAUAUAUCCAGAAAAUAUUGGGACCAAAAACUGCACUUGU